GGAAGAAGCCAUGUGAGGACAGAGGCUGAGGCUGGGACGAGGUGAUUGCAGGCCGGGACAUGUGGUGGGCGGCCUGCAGCCAGCAGAGCCUCCAGAGGGAGUACGGCCCUGCAAGCUCCUCGAAUUCAGACUUCCAGCCUCCAGAAGUGUGAAGAAUCAAUGUUUGCUGUGGAGCACACAGCUGUGGGCUUUGGUUCCGGCAGCCUUAGGAAACUAAUGCCAUUUCAGAAAAAGCACAACAAUUUGCUGGGCACUCACAGAGGCAGGUGCCAAUCCUCACGACAGCACUUUGAGAUGGAGAAGUGGCUGCGAGCCCAUUUUACAGAUGGGGAAACUGAGCCCCCAACAACCCCAAGCGACUUUCCCGACUUCAGGCUCAGGAAGGCAAUGGAACUGGGGGUAGGAGAAAAGCUCGGAGGGGGCUCAGAGGGGCGGACAGACUCCACUGGGUGGGGCUGAAGUGGUGGAACUCUGUCCUGAAGACCUCACAAGCUGCAGAAGGGCACACGGAAGGAGCAACAAUGGCAUGUGUGCGAUUUGGCUGGUGGGAGAGGGGAGACACCCUAGCUUCUCCCUCAACAGCUGGGGCCCAGCGCCCUCCUCAGGGACCCCCAACCUGAAGGGAGAAGCUCAGGGCUGGUACCUGCAGGGACCCCUGAAGACCACAUGGAUAGGUAGAGAGGCAAGCAGGAGGGCACCGCCCAGAAACAGGCCUCCUUAGGAACAGAAGGACAGGCCUCCUUAGGAAGCUCGGGGACACCCAGUCCCCAGCCACCUGCAAAGGACCUCCCAAAUUGCCUGCAAAGGCCCUGCCAGUCACAAUAGCCCCUGCUGGGCACAGAGCUGCUCCAAGGGACAUGCACGCUGGGGAGUGGAUUCAUCCCAAGACCUACUCUGAACAGGAUGUCCCAGCCCUCCUCACCAAUAGGAGUCACAGGGGGGCACUGGGGACCUGCAGCCAGAGACCCCGCACAUCCAGCUGAAUCUUCCAAAUCCUCUACAGCCCCACAUCCAACCCCACUGACCGCCUGCUUGGAGAUUGUGCCAUAGUCCUUGGCACUGUUAUUUACCUCAUAUUCUCAGUUCAAUCACCACUCCCCUCUCUCUUUAACUUAAAUAUACCCC
rnacentral:lncRNA from 1 species